AGUUCCUUAGCUCAGUUGGUUCAGAGCGAUACCCUUACAAGGUAAAGGUCGUAGGUUCAAAUCCUACAGGGACUA
rnacentral:tRNA from 1 species